CUUGGUCCCGCCUCCAGUGCGGAUGCAACUUAUUCAAACUUUUAAACGGUUCGGAAUAUCAAUAUUCUUUCAACAUAACACGUUCCUCCCCAGCUCUUCUGCACUGUCCAGAGCUGAUACAAGUGCCAUGGCUAGAAGGACAUUGUCACCCUCUCGCAGUCGUAUAUUCAGACAGUUUCUCCUCUGUCACUUUCUCCAUCUUCUGUGUCAGCAACUGCCAAACCACCAAACUGUUAGCCACUGUGUCAACAGCCAUGACUGCUGAUCCCCCAGGACCACCAGGGUGAUGGCCACCAGCACCUGAGCAACAGCUGCUGGGUCUUUAGGCUGGGGAUAAGCACUGUCCCACGAAUGGACCGAGUGGACCAUCUGGACAAGGACUGAAACUGGUUAAACACUCAGCAACCAGCAGUUCUGCACCAUCAUAGCUCUCUGUCAAAACUUAAUGCCAUAUGACAAGCAGCGUGAGGCAUCCCCUGCUCGGCAUCAUGUGCGGUUGAGCACUGGACUUUAGACAUCCCAAAACAAAGGGUGAAUUUACACCAGGUGUGGGGACCAUGGCUCGUCGUGUCUUGUGUCUUAGGAUCCACCGGAUCACCUGGCCAGUAGACAGACUGUUGUUGCCUAGCAGAGGCCAUCUUUGUCAGACUCUGUGACAUUUACAAGAGCCCACAACACACAUUUAUUAUGCAUUGACAAAAUGGACAAUGAUUAAACGGCUGAUAAAAAAAAUAGACUAAUAAUUUGUGAAAACUUGUGUUUUAAUUGGUGGUGUGUAAAUAGUGUCUAAGUUGCAGAUUGGAUCUCUAUAUACAUAGAUACAUGUUUUCCAUUCUUUUUUAUUGUUGUUUUAUUACUGAUUUUACCGAAAAGGCAGACAUUUUUAAGUUUUCUUUGUAUGUAUUUUCUUCUAGCAUUUAUUUUUAGAUAUUUUUAGUUUUAAAGAACUGGAAGAAGGUGGAGAGAUAA